CCAAAGACUUAAGUAACAAAUGCAGUUUUAAUUGGUCUAUAGAUAAAAACUACUCCGCAAGGUGAGUAACCAUUUCCGCUCCUAAUGUUAGAGCCGUAUCCUGGACAGUGUUCAGGAAGAAGGUUAACUUCAUUAUUUCACUUCAUCCGUGGUAUU